rnacentral:rRNA from 1 species
AGGCUUUACUAAACCGUACUGAAAACCGACACAGGUGGUCAGGUAGAGAAUACUCAGGCGCUUGAGAGAACUCGGGUGAAGGAACUAGGCAAAAUAGCACCGUAACUUCGGGAGAAGGUGCGCCGGCGUAGAUUGUAAGGGCUAGCCCCUGAAGGUUGAACCGGUCGAAGAUACCAGCUGGCUGCAACUGUUUAUUAAAAACACAGCACUCUGCAAACACGAAAGUGGACGUAUAGGGUGUGAUGCCUGCCCGGUGCUGGAAGGUUAAUUGAUGGUGUCAUCGAAAGAGAAGCACCUGAUCGAAGCCCCAGUAAACGGCGGCCGUAACUAUAACGGUCCUAAGGUAGCGAAAUUCCUUGUCGGGUAAGUUCCGACCUGCACGAAUGGCAUAAUGAUGGCCAGGCUGUCUCCACCCGAGACUCAGUGAAAUUGAAAUCGCCGUGAAGAUGCGGUGUACCCGCGGCUAGACGGAAAGACCCCGUGAACCUUUACUAUAGCUUGACACUGAACAUUGAAUUUUGAUGUGUAGGAUAGGUGGGAGACUUAGAAGUAGUAACGCCAGUUUCUAUGGAGUCAUCCUUGAAAUACCACCCUUUAACGUUUGAUGUUCUAACGAAGACUACGGAACGUGGUCUCGGACAGUGUCUGGUGGGUAGUUUGACUGGGGCGGUCUCCUCCCAAAGCGUAACGGAGGAGCACGAAGGUUUGCUAAUCACGGUCGGACAUCGUGAGGUUAGUGCAAUGGUAUAAGCAAGCUUAACUGCGAGACAGACAAGUCGAGCAGGUACGAAAGUAGGUCAUAGUGAUCCGGUGGUUCUGAAUGGAAGGGCCAUCGCUCAACGGAUAAAAGGUACUCCGGGGAUAACAGGCUGAUACCGCCCAAGAGUUCAUAUCGACGGCGGUGUUUGGCACCUCGAUGUCGGCUCAUCACAUCCUGGGGCUGAAGUAGGUCCCAAGGGUAUGGCUGUUCGCCAUUUAAAGUGGUACGCGAGCUGGGUUUAGAACGUCGUGAGACAGUUCGGUCCCUAUCUGCCGUGGGCGU